rnacentral:rRNA from 1 species
GAUGAACGCUGGCGGCGUGCCUAAUACAUGCAAGUCGAGCGAACGGACGAUAAGCUCGCGUCCCUGAUGUUAGCGGCGGACGGGCGAGUAAGACGUAGAUAACCUACCUAUAAUACUGGGAUAACAUCGGGAAACCGGAUAUGAUACUAGCUAAUAUUUUGUACCGCAGGGUGCAAAAGUGAAUGACGGCUUUCGCGUCAGAUAGAGAUGGAUCCGCGCUGCAUUAGCUAGUUGGUAAGGUAACGGCUUACCAAGGCAACGAUGCAUAGCCGACCUGAGAGGGUGAUCAGCCACACUGGAACUGAGACACGGUCCAGACUCCUACGGGAGGCAGCAGUAGGGAAUAUUGCGCAAAGGGCGAAAGCCUGACCGAGCCAUGCCGCGUGAGUGAUGAAGGUCUUCGGAUCGUAAAGCUCUGUUAUUAGGGAAGAACAUAUGUGUAAGUAACUGUGCACAUCUUGACGGUACCUAAUGAGAAAGCCCCGGCUAACUACGUG